rnacentral:rRNA from 1 species
GGCUUGUUGAUAAUAAUUUUAAGUCUGGCCUGCCCAAUGAUGAAUUUAAUGGCCGCGGUAUAUUGACCGUGCAAAGGUAGCAUAAUCAUUAGUUUUUUAAUUGAAAGCUUGUAUGAAAGGUUCGAUGAAAAAAUUUCUGUCUCUAUUGAAGUUAACUAGAAUUUUAUUUUUAAGUGAGAAAGCUUAAAUUUUUAUAGAAGACGAGAAGACCCUAUAGAGUUUUAUAUUAAUAUAAAAUAUUUAAUUUUAGGAAUAAAAGUUAAUGUUUUAUAUUAAUAUUUAAUUGGGGUGAUUGGAAAAUUUAAUUAACUUUUCUUUUUAAAUACCAUUAAUUUAUGAAUAUAUGAUCCUAUUAUAUAGAUUAUAAGAGUGAAUUACCUUAGGGAUAACAGCGUAAUCUUUUUUAGAGUUCUUAUCAAAAAGAAGGAUUGCGACCUCGAUGUUGGAUUAAAAUUAAUUUUUGGUGUAGAAGCUAAGGGAUUAGGUCUGUUCGACUUUUAAAAUUUUACAUGAUCUGAGUUUAAACCGGUGUGAG